GGCGACGAUGCCUAGGGGUUCUGAGAGGAAGGUCCCCCACACUGGUACUGAGACACGGACCAGACUCCUACGGGAGGCAGCAGUGAGGAAUAUUGGUCAAUGGGAGAGAUCCUGAACCAGCCAAGCCGCGUGAGGGAAGACGGCCCUAUGGGUUGUAAACCUCUUUUGUCGGAGAACAAAACCCGGGACGAGUCCCGGACUGCGUGUAUCCGAAGAAAAAGCAUCGGCUAACUCCGUGCCAGCAGCCGCGGUAAUACGGAGGAUGCGAGCGUUAUCCGGAUUUAUUGGGUUUAAAGGGUGCGUAGGCGGUCUGUUAAGUCAGCGGUAAAAUUGCGGGGCUCAACCCCGUCGAGCCGUUGAAACUGGCAGACUUGAGUUGGCGAGAAGUACGCGGAAUGCGCGGUGUAGCGGUGAAAUGCAUAGAUAUCGCGCAGAACUCCGAUUGCGAAGGCAGCGUACCGGCGCCACACUGACGCUGAGGCACGAAAGCGUGGGGAUCGAACAGGAUUAGAUACCCUGGUAGUCCACGCAGUAAACGAUGAAUGCUGGUUGUCCGGGUCGAAUGAGAUCUGG
rnacentral:rRNA from 1 species